rnacentral:rRNA from 1 species
AACGAGCGCUGGCGGCAUGCCUAACACAUGCAAGUCGAACGAGACCUUCGGGUCUAGUGGCGCACGGGUGCGUAACGCGUGGGAACCUGCCCUUAGGUUCGGAAUAACUCCCCGAAAGGGGUGCUAAUACCGGAUAAUGUCUUCGGACCAAAGAUUUAUCGCCUUUGGAUGGGCCCGCGUUGGAUUAGCUAGUUGGUAGGGUAAAAGCCAACCAAGGCGACGAUCCAUAGCUGGUCUGAGAGGAUGAUCAGCCACACUGGGACUGAGACACGGCCCAGACUCCUACGGGAGGCAGCAGUGGGGAAUAUUGGACAAUGGGCGAAAGCCUGAUCCAGCAAUGCCGCGUGAGUGAUGAAGGCCUUAGGGUUGUAAAGCUCUUUUACCCGGGAUGAUAAUGACAGUACCGGGAGAAUAAGCUCCGGCUAACUCCGUG